rnacentral:misc_RNA from 1 species
CUGUCUCUUUCUCUCUCUCUCUUCGGUCUCUCUUUCUCUCUCUGAUUGGCGACCUUUUUAUCUCUAUAGAUCGACAGGGCGGCUUCGAUUCUCUUCAAUUUCAACGAUCCGAGCUGGAGUUCGAUCGAUUUGUUCAGAAAUUGGACGCCUUUGGAUUGGAAUUCGAUUCGGGAAGCUGUAUUUAGGGUUUCGAUUCUGGUGGCUGAUGGUGGAAGGUGGGACUUUGUGGUGGAUCUGGGAGUUGAAAUUAAUUUAAGGACUUGGAGUGGGGGUUGGAUUUUGGGAUAAAGGAGAGGGGAUUGAUGGUACUCGAGGGCGAAAAUGCAAGGCUAUGCAUGGGCGGGCUUGUGAGGAAAGGAAAAGGGGCCGGCACAUGUGGACAGGACCUAACCGUGGUAAUUCGGUUAUAGCUGGUGAUGUUUCCUCGUCUUCUUCAUCGCUGUCUCCAACUAAUUCGUUUUGCAAGGACGGACGCAAGAUCAACGUAGGGGAUUGUGCUCUUUUCAAACCAUCACAGGACUCUCCACCUUUCAUUGGAAUUAUUCGUUGGUUUACUACUGGCAAAGAGAAUGAAUUACAGUUACGUGUGAAUUGGCUUUAUAGGCCUUCUGAAGUAAAGCUUGGCAAAGGCAUCCUAUUGGAAGCUGCGCCAAACGAAGUAUUUUAUUCCUUUCACAAGGAUGAGAUUCCUGCUGCAUCAUUGCUCCAUCCGUGUAAAGUUGCAUUCCUUGCUAAAGGUGUUGAACUUCCAUCAGGAAUUUGCUCAUUUGUGUGCCGGCGAGUUUAUGAUAUUACGAACAAGUGUUUAUGGUGGCUAACCGAUCAAGAUUAUAUUAAUGAACGACAAGAAGAAGUAGAUCAACUAUUGUGUAAAACUCGCAUAGAAAUGCAUGCAACGGUGCCCCAGGGUGGGCGUUCACCAAAACAAAUGAAUGGUCCGACAUCAACUUCACAGUUGAAACCUAGCUUAGAUAGUGUACAAAAUAGUGCCUCAUCCUUUCCUUCUCAAGUUAAGGGAAAGAAACGGGAACGGGUUGAUCAGGGCUCUGAGCCUGUUAAACGAGAACGUUCUUCAAAACUGGAUGAUGGUGAUUCUGGUCACUGUCGACCAGAAAGCAGUUGGAAAGCUGAGAUUGCAAAAUUUACUGAAAAGGGGGGCCUUGUUGACUCUGAAGGGGUUCAAAAAUUGGUGCAACUCAUGCUGCCUGAGAGAAAUGAGAAAAAGAUAGACUUGGUGGGCCGGUCAAUACUGGCUGGUGUUAUAGCAGCCACAGAUAAGUUUGAUUGCCUUAAUCGGUUUGUGCAGCUCAGGGGCUUGCCUGUAUUUGAUGAGUGGCUGCAGGAGGUGCAUAAAGGGAAGAUUGGUGAUGGUAGUAGUCCUAAGGAUAGUGAUAAAUCUAUCGAGGUAUUUCUCUUAGUUUUACUUCGGGCGCUUGACAAACUCCCUGUCAAUCUUCAUGCUUUACAAAUGUGUAAUAUUGGUAAGUCAGUGAAUCAUCUGCGUACACAUAAGAACUUGGAAAUUCAAAAGAAAGCAAGAACUCUAGUUGAUACAUGGAAGAAACGUGUUGAGGCUGAAAUGGAUGCAAAGUCUGGUUCUAACCAGGCUGUCUCAUGGGCUGCGAGAUCACGUCUUCCAGAAGUUUCGCAUGGUGGGAACAGACAUUUAGGUGCAUCCUCUGAUGUUGCAAUGAAGAGUUCACCUGCCCAAGUUUCUGCAUCAAAAAAUGCUCCAGUCAAGCUUGUCCCAGGGGAGACUACAGCCAAGUCUGCAUCUGCAUCUCCAGGUUCCAUGAAAUCAGCACCAUCUUCUGCAUCAGUGGGUAAUAACUUAAAAGAAGGUCAAGCAAGAAAUACUGGUGUUAGUGGUGGCUCUGAUCCUCCAUUAACAGCUGCUGGAGAUGAGAAAAGCAGCAGUUCUAGUCAGUCCCACAACAACAGUCAAUCUUGUUCCAGUGACCAUGCCAAAGGUGGGGGGCAUUCAGUGAAGGAGGAUGCAAGGAGCUCUACUGCUGUUUCAAUGUCUGCAAAUAAGAUCAUUGGGAGUUCUUCUCGGUAUCGAAAAUCGAUGAAUGGCUUUCCUGGGCCAACUUCAUCUGGGGUUCAAAAGGAAACUGGGUCGAGCAGGAAUUCUUCCUUGCGGAGAAGUCCGGGUUCAGAAAAAGUACCACAGUCCAGUUUGACCUGUGAGAAGAUGGUUGAUGUCCCUGUGGCAGAGGGGAAUAAUCACAAAUUGAUUGUUAAACUGUCCAAUAGAGGUCGCAGUCCUGCAAGAACUGCCAGUGGAGGAUCAUUGGAGGACCCUUCAGUCAUGAAUAGCAGGGCUUCUUCUCCUGUGCUUUCUGAGAAGCAUGACCAGUUUGAUCGUAAUGUGAAGGAAAAGAGUGAUGUUUAUCGAGCAAAUACUAUUGCUGAUGUAAAGACUGAGUCAUGGCAAAGCAAUGAUUUCAAAGAGGUGCUUACUGGGUCUGAUGAGGGGGAUGGAUCCCCUGCUACUGUUCCUGAAGAAGAGAACUGUAAGACUGUUGAAGACGGUAGGAAAUUAGCAGAUGUCCGAAAAGCUGCUUCCUCAUCAUCUGGAAAUGAACAUAAAUCAGGGAAAUUGCAUGAGGCUUCUUUCAGCUCCAUAAAUGCUUUGAUUGAAAGUUGUGUCAAGUACUCUGAAGUAAAUGCAUCAUUGGAUGUUGGGGACGAGGUUGGAAUGAACCUGCUUGCUGCUGUGGCUGCUGGUGAGAUGUCCAAAUCAGAUGUGGCUUCACCAUCUCAUUCUCCACAAAGAAAUGUUACUGUUGCUGAGCACUCUUGCAUAAGCACUGAUUCAAAAAUAAAACCAUAUUCAAGUGAUAAGCUUAUGCCAGACCAAGGUCAGUCUGUUGAUGAUGAGCACGAGAAGUGGAGUAUCAUUAAAAGUAAUUCACUGGCUAAGAACACGGAAGUUAAACCCAAUUCAUUGUCACAAGAAAAAAUGACUGGGGAGGUCAAUGGACAUUCAAAUUCUUCCAGUAUGAAUGUGCUGCAAGUGGCAGAACGCUGUCCAGAAAGCAAUGUGAAAUCAGAAGAAACAUUAAGAGAAACUUCAUCAGCUGUGCCCUCUGCAAGAAUGGUAGAGAAGACAUCAAAUGGUGGUGGGAUAGAAACACGGCAGGAAAAGGCACACGGCAAUUCAAAUGCAGGUGGCCUCUCUGAUGCUAAAGAAGACUUAUGCAAUUCUUUUGUAGCAGAGGAUAAGUUCAAUGUUUCAGGACUGGUUGGUACUGAAGCUGUUGUAGAAUCUUGUACUUAUCCAUCUUUGGAGAUUGACAGUGAGAACAAGCAAAACUUGAAUAAUGAGUUGAACGUUGCUUGCCAGGCAGACCAGAAACCACUUGUAGUGAUGCAUUCUGAGUGCAGAAAAGGAAGUGCUGGGCGAGUGCUGCAUCCUUCUGAUUCUAGCAAGGACAUUAUUUCUGAAAAUGUUGGUGAAGCGAAGGCUGAAAAGGCUGAUGAAAUGGACACAAGGAGUCCAAAACAAAAAACUGAAGAGGAAAGUAAUAUUGGGUCUGCUGUUACUGAUCACAAAGGUGAUUGUGUGGAGAGACUAGAAGGUAAUCAGGGUAAUGAACAACAUAGCAGCGGCCCAAUGCUUCCUGAGAAGUUUUCGACCACAGUUGUCCAAGAAUCUGAAGUGCAAGCAAGGACUAGGGGAUCAAAGUUGACUGGCAUUGUGGCUGAUGAAGCCGAGGAAUGUACAUCUGCAACAGCAGAUGCUGUUCCUUUUUCUGCUGCAGGGGAGUUGGAUGUGGAAGCAAAAGUGGAAUUUGAUCUGAAUGAAGGCUUUAAUGGUGAUGAUGGGAGAUUAGGGGAACCAAAUAACUCGAAAGCACGAGAAUGUUCUACUGCUGUUCAAUUAAUUAGCCCUUUGCCUUUACCUGUUUCUUCUGGUUCCAGUGGUCUUCCUGCUUUGAUUACAGUAGCUUCUGCUGCGAAAAGGCCAUUUGUUCCCCCAGAGGAUUUACUGAAGAAUAAGGGAGAACUUGGUUGGAAGGGAUCAGCAGCCACAAGUGCAUUUCGGCCAGCUGAACCUAGAAAAGCAUUGGAGAUGCUGGCAAGUACGACUAGUGUAUCACUCUCUGAUGCACCUGCUGCUAAGUGCAAUCGUCCUCCUUUAGAUAUCGACUUGAAUGUUCCUGAUGAAAGAAUCCUUGAGGAUAUGGCUUCUCGAAGUACUGCUCAGGGUACAGUUUCUAUAGCUGCCCUUGCCAAUAAUCAUGAUCUUUUGCAUGUCGAUAAACUAGGUUCUGCACCUGUUCGUAAUUCUGGGGGACUUGAUCUUGAUUUGAAUAGAGUGGAUGAGCCCACUGAUAUUGGUAAUCACUUAAUAAGCAAUGGUCAUAGGUUGGAUGUGCAGCUUCAGCAAAUCAAAUCAUCUUCAGGUGGUAUUCUUAAUGGAGAGCUAAGUGUGCGCAGAGACUUUGAUUUGAAUGACGGGCCUCUUGUUGAUGAGAUGAGUGUGGAACCAUCAUCAUUUGGCCAGCACAACAAGAACAGCGCACCAUCCCAACCAUCUGUAUCUGGCCUUCGGAUGAAUAAUACAGAAAUGGGCAACUUUUCAUGGUUUUCACAGGGUAAUCCAUAUUCAGCUGUCACGAUCCAGUCCAUCUUGCCUGAUAGAGGAGAGCAGCCUUUUCCAAUGGUGACACCUGGUGGGCCGCAAAGGAUGUUGGCACCCUUAACUGGCAGCACUCCAUUGAGUCCUGAUGUCUAUAGGGGGUCAGUCUUGUCUUCAUCUCCAGCUGUACCCUUUCCAUCUACACCUUUUCAGUGUCCUCCUGUCUUUCCCUUUGGAACCAACUUUCCUCCACCCACGGCAACAUUUUCAGGUGGCUCUACAACUUAUGUGGAUUCAUCAUCUGGUGGAAGGCUUUGCUUUCCUGCAAUGCAUUCUCGAGUAUUAGCACCUUCCAGUGCAGUUCCAUCUCAUUAUCCGAGGCCUUUUGUUGUUAGCCUCCCAGAUAAUAACAAUAAUGGUAACACCGAGAGCAGCAGGAAAUGGGGAAGGCAGGGGCUAGACCUGAAUUCGGGGCCUCUAGGUCCAGACAUAGAAGGGAGAGAUGAGACAUCUUCUCUUACAUCAAGACAAUUGUCUGUAGCCAGUUCACAGGCACUUGCAGAGGAGCAUUCGAGGAUGUUCCAAGUUGCAGGAGGCGGUGUAUUGAAGAGGAAGGAGCCAGAUGGAGGGUGGGAAAGUUAUAAGCAAUCAUCAUGGCAAUAGAGAUGCGCUUGCACAGUCUGGUCUUUCCUGUCGGAUGGGUGCACUCUCAGGAUGGUCAUCGAAUUUGUGCUCUUUAAGGAUGGUGGUAAGUGAGUUAUUUGAUGUUGAUCAGUCUCCGACCCCCACCCUUUCGCUGUGCCAGCUGUAUCUUAAAGGAAUCUUUUCAGGUCUUCCUGCUGGUAUUUCCUUGAAUUUGUACUGGGUGACUGCAGUUCAUUUUUCCCUUUGUAGAUAUUUUAACUGUUGGAAAGGAUGCAGUCUGUUGCCCAGACAUUCAAAAUUGGUCCCAAUACUGUUGUUCAGUGCAUCACAAUAUAUACUGUUGGACGCAAAACUAUCCUUCCUUUUCCAACCAUUCCGUCAAUGGAAGUUGGGUUAGUGAACUGCUUUAAACAGAAGUCCUUUUGUAUGUGCUUUGUGGUUAAUUUAUCUUUCUGUCUUUUCCUCUUUAUUUUAGUCGCAUAUAUGAGCAGAGUGGUCAGCAAAUUUUGUUACUUGAGCAUUUCUUGUUCUGGCGUAUGCUUUAGUUGCUAUGGUUGCAGCUGUAUUCUAAUUUUAUUUUAUUUUAUUGAUUAACCAGUGUUGAUUUUUUGCUGAACAGUCAAUUUUCGGCCUAGAUUUAUGUUGAUGUUCACAUAAAGACAUUAAACUAACCAAGAUUUGUAUUAUGAUAUCCCCUUGCCUCCUUUUUUAUGUCCUAUGAUUAGGCAGUUGUAUAACAUGUGAUGAUUUGCUUUGAAACUAAUGUUUAUUUGCAUGCUUUGGUUAUGUUGGCGAGAAAAUGUGCUUCAAUAAUUGAUCCUGGGAGUUAGACUGGUUGAUUUCACUCGAAUCAUUGUUGAUGUUCUGUAUUACAGUUUAUCAGAUGGAAUAUGGAUGAAUUGCUGCAUCUUUUGUAUGGUGUUGGACCUGUUCUGGAUUUAUGAUUUGGAAUGAGGCUUGUCUAUAAUCACGUUAGGAAGUAAACAUCAGUCGGGAUAAACUUAACUUUCACAAAAGGUGAAAUCUGAUGUAGAGCGAGUUUGUAUUUUGAAGUUUAGUCCCUCUUAAACUAUAAUGGAAUUCUUCUGUAUUUAAUUUUAACGUAGUUGAUUCUGUUUUUGGCGUCUUGUCUC